GCACAACGCGAAGAACCUUACCAGGUCUUGACAUCCCGUUGACCACUGUAGAGAUAUAGUUUCCCCUUCGGGGGCAACGGUGACAGGUGGUGCAUGGUUGUCGUCAGCUCGUGUCGUGAGAUGUUGGGUUAAGUCCCGCAACGAGCGCAACCCUUGAUCUUAGUUGCCAUCAUUUAGUUGGGCACUCUAAGGUGACUGCCGGUGACAAACCGGAGGAAGGUGGGGAUGACGUCAAAUCAUCAUGCCCCUUAUGACCUGGGCUACACACGUGCUACAAUGGACGAUACAAACGGUUGCCAACUCGCGAGAGGGAGCUAAUCCGAUAAAGUCGUUCUCAGUUCGGAUUGUAGGCUGCAACUCGCCUACAUGAAGCCGGAAUCGCUAGUAAUCGCGGAUCAGCAUGCCGCGGUGAAUACGUUCCCGGGUCUUGUACACACCG
rnacentral:rRNA from 1 species